rnacentral:rRNA from 1 species
CCUACGGGUGGCAGCAGUGAGGAAUAUUGGUCAAUGGCCGCAAGGCUGAACCAGCCAAGUCGCGUGAAGGAAGAAGGACCUAUGGUUUGUAAACUUCUUUUAUAGGGGAAUAAAGGUAUCCACGUGUGGCUAUUUGCAUUUACCCUAUGAAUAAGCAUCGGCUAACUCCGUGCCAGCACCCGCGGUACUACGGAGGAUGCGAGCGUUAUCCGGAUUUAUUGGGGUUAAAGGGGGCGUAGGGUGUUUUUUAAGUCAGCGGUGAAAGUUUGUGGCUCAACCAGAAAAUUGCCGUUGAAACUGGAAGGCUUGAGGGUGUUAGAGGGAGGCGGAAUGCGUGGUGUAGCGGUGAAAUGCAUAGAUAUCACGCAGAAUUCCGAUUGCGAAGGUAGCUUACUAAGCCAUAACUGACACUGAGGCACGAAAGCGUGGGGAUCAAACAGGAUUAGAUACCCCGGUAGUC